AGGAGACACAGCUCCUCACCUUUCUCCUUUGAGUAUCUGCUGCAUGCAGGGAAGAUGGAAUGAGGCCCAAUGAGUCCUACUGCAGGAAAUUAUGCCUGUCAGAGGAUGGAAGGCCAGUAUCCUCCUAACGGCUGGUACUGGAGCCUGGGGUACCGCGCAUCAGCUCAUUGCCUUGCAGCUUUGAUCUUGUCCCAGCUGGCAUCUUGAUCAUCCCCAUUCCACAGAUGGAGAAGGAGGCUCAGAGGGUUUGUCCACUUGCUCAGACUCACACAGCCAGACAGGUGGCAGCCAGCACGGUAAAAUGCCAGUUGCACGCGAGAGGGGUGGGGUUCGUCCUAAGAGGCCUUUGUCACUGAAGCGGAUGUCGGAGAUGACUUGGGUUUUCUCUGCAAGUGAAAAACCUCUGCUUGUGAGAAUGAACAGGAAGGAGGGUCUCCUUAGGGCCACAGGUAAGGACCUUCACAGGUGACAUCAUGCUUAGUCUCAAAUCAGCCUCAAGAUGCAGGUAAGACAGGUAAAGAAUGUGAGGACCAGGGAAGCUGUGGUCGCAUCUUGGAGCCACUGUUUCCUGCAUCUUAAGUCCAAGUUGUUCCUGGACAUCCAUG
ensembl:lncRNA